rnacentral:rRNA from 1 species
UACGAAGGGUGCAAGCGUUAAUCGGAAUUACUGGGCGUAAAGGGUGCGUAGGCGGUUAGUUAAGUCUGUUGUGAAAUCCCCGGGCUCAACCUGGGAAUGGCAAUGGAUACUGGCUGGCUAGAGUGUGUCAGAGGAUGGUGGAAUUCCCGGUGUAGCAGUGAAAUGCGUAGAGAUCGGGAGGAACACCAGUGGCGAAGGCGGCCUUCUGGACCAAUACUGACGCUCAUGCGCGAAAGCGUGGGGAGCAAACAGG